UAUUUAUCCCUAAUGAGGAACUGUAAGAUGAAUUCAUUAUACUGGUUCUGUCAAAUAGUUGGCUUCAUUCAUUCAUUGGGGAAAAACCUGGAAGAAAUCAUUACUUCUUCUCAAACAUUGUGAAUGCAACAUGAAAAAACAUCACAAACUGUAUUAUUUCUUGGUCAAGACCCACACCAUCUUUAGUAAAAGCAAUGCCCAAGACCAAGAGAAGUCCAAGUACAAAUACUAAUAAACCUGACACAAGUCCAAGUGAAUACAGAAGACGUCUCGUAACUCAUAGGACUGAACCAGUGUAAUUAGCUCACAAGUGUAAAGUGAGUGAAUGGACUGAGAAUACAAAAAUACAUUUAUACUGAAUCUUUAUAUUUUUAUGUUAACAUUAAUAUAAACACUAACAUAUUUCACUCAGUAACACAUUUGAACGUGCUCGUGGCUGCAGCAGGACUUUCACACCUUCGUUGUGUUUUAACAUAAACAGCUCCAUCAUGCAGUGUAAAGCUUGAGAAACAAAACUAACACGUUCACCAGCACACACUUCCUUUAUUUCAGGGACUACAGCAGUCUGAUGGUCAUUACACAAUAAUUCUGUCAUUUAUACACAUUAUUCUUUCUGUGCUGUAGUUAGAGAGUCUAGUUUAAUGACCUGUGUAUGUUUUAGUGCUCCAAACUGAGGAAGUGUGUGUUUCUGACUAAAACUGGUCCAUGUGACCAUCAGAAUACAUGUUACAGCUAAUAGACCAAUCAAAUCAGUCCACAGCUUCAAAUCAUCCAAUCAGGUGUGAGUCUGGACCUGGUUUUGUACUGAACACACAAGUUCAUUAGAUCACUUGGUGUGAACAGGAACGAUGAUCAGACUCUUUGUCGCUCUUUGUGCUCUUUUUUCUCUCUUCACAGCUGUGAAAACUUCUGACAUCAAGGAGAUUGACGUGAUAACAGUAAAGCUUGAAGAAGAUGUAACUAUGGAGUGUAACACUAGCGGUAUCAUAAAGAAAGAUGAUGUAGUUUGGUACAGACAGAUUUCAGGAAAAUUACCUCAGUUUAUUGCAAAACCAUACAAGAGCGAAUUGGGCUACAAAUUUGUUGAAGGAUUUAAUGAUGCUCGUUUCAGUGUUAGUGUAAAUGACAAUACAUUUGAUCUCAAUAUUAAAAAAACAAGAGAAGAUGAUGAUGGAGAAUAUUUCUGUGGAGAAAUGCAAGGAAUUCUAGUGAUGUUCACAUCUGGAACACGUCUGCAAUUUAAAGAUAAAGAGACGACACACCGUAAUACAUCUGGAACUACACACGGAGUUUCAGCCAUCUGCAAUGAAACAAGUGAGAGCUGUACUGCUAAAAUGCGUGUGUUCUUCUGGCUCUCCAUUUCAAGAAUCGGAGUUCUCAUUGUUACAGUUAUUAUAAUUACAAUAUGGUACAAGGUUUUAAAGUCAAGAUCUUAAACUUGAUAUAAUUGUCUUUUCACAGUGGUGUGUGUGUGUGUGUGUGUGUGUGUGUGUGUGUGUGUGUGUGUGUGUGUGUGUGUGUGUGUGUGUGUGUGUGAGAAUGUUCAUUUACACUGAUCUAGAAAACUGGAUUAAAAACUAAUGUCUGAACUGAUAUUGUUCAGGAUUUGCUUUGAUUCUGCUGAACCUGAAGUGCUUCAUGUACAAUGCAAUAAAAUUAGACUUUAAUAAGA